UGAGGAACAUGACCUUCGCGGGGGAUAGCCGGCCCAACGGCCGGGUAAUACCGCGUACGACCUUUCGGGGACAUCCCUGGAUGGUGAAAGCAGCAAUGCGCCGAUGGAGUGCCUCGCGGCCUAUCAGCUUGUUGGUGUGGGUAACGGCCCACCAAGGCGACGACGGGUAGCCGGCCUGAGAGGGUGACCGGCCACACGUGGGACUGAGACACGGCCCAGACUCCUACGGGAGGCAG
rnacentral:rRNA from 1 species